AUACAUACUGCCUAAUUUCAGACCAAAACUAUAAUAUGCAAUGCACUGAUUACCAUUUCUUUUUCUCUUUUUUUCUUCUUCUUUAAACAGGUUAAUAUUGUUGAAGGGUGGCUAGAAUAUAUAAGACCUCAAGCACGAGUGUUCAUAGAAACUAAAAAAAAACCAACACUUGUGAAGCAAAAGGAAGGGCUCCCGACACUUGUACAAAAAGAUUUGACUCCAACUGAAGAACUCACUCUCAAUUGGAUUAUGCAAAAUCCAUUGCAGUUUCCAUUUGAGGAUGACAUGGAAUGUGCU
rnacentral:lncRNA from 1 species